rnacentral:misc_RNA from 1 species
CUUGGACGUAGCGGUGUAACAAACCGCUCGUCUCAAAUGCUUGAGUGUACCCUGCUUUGCAGCGUAUUCGGUGUGAUAACAUCUUCACCGGAGCCAGUCGCAAGACGCGCUAUCAUGGUUAGGCCCUGCGCUUCAAACCGUCUUCGGACAAUCUCUGACAAUUUGACCUCAAAUCGGGUGGGACUACCCGCUGAACUUAA